CCAAUAUCUUUGAUUUUAACAUUGUAUGUAAUGUAUUUCUAUUGUAAAAGAAAGUGGUUUGAUAUUCAAUGUUUAAAACAUAAUGACAUGUGUUAUCAAUAAUGGCACCGUAAUAAUUCCAUGUUGGAUGUUAAAGACAAGGCUUCGAGUUUAAAACAGGACGUUAAGCAACAAACAAUCAAUCAAUUAAAACUGAACAUUUCAGCAAUAAUUUGUUAAGCUUAUGAAUAACAUUACGUUACAACAUUAUGUGCAGUCUUUAAUAUUGAAAAAAUUGCGUUCAUAAAAACCUUCUACCACUACAACACACACUAACAUGAGAAUUUUCAACUCCUUCAACUGUUCCUGGUUUAAGUUUUGGUAUCGCGGUAUUGGUUUGGAUAUGGUUGCGGCUUAUUACUUUUAUUGUGAAAAUUUCUAAGCACAAACCAUUAUUUGUCAUUCCAAUUGAUAAACAAUGUUUCCUGAAUAUUGCUAGUAUAUUUGAUUCAACCCAACAGUUUAUCUUUAAAUUACAAAACCACUUCAGUUUAAAACAAACGGAAACGGUCACAAAAAUGGUCACAUCCGAAACAUAUUUUCAAAUUGUAAGAAAUUGUUCUGAUGCAUUUUAAAACAUGUUCAUUCACAACUCACAAUAUGGUUAGUUUUGCUCAAAUUGAUUUACCUAUUCUUAUCUGAAUUACCUAUUUUUAUUUGAAUCAUUUUGUUUUCAAAUAUUUGACAAUUGGAAGGACUUGUUGGUAAAAGUGUGAUCAAAUAUUCAUUCAGAAUUUGUCAAUAUUUUCAACGAUUUCCUGGACUUGGCUCCUUUAGCAGACAACCUAAUGUCAUCUUAUUUAACAUUGAUUCAGCAUGUUAUUUCUGUUUAAGUUAGUUAUUAUUUUUUUUAUUUUCCUAAUGCUUUUCUGCAUAAAGUAAACUAAAACUUACAAUCCUCAAUGAUUUCCUCGAACAUUUUUACAUUAAUUGUAAAAAAUAUGCUUACAUAUUAUAUUACAGUCAUUUGGAAAUACCUAAUUAAAAAACCGAUGAAUCAUUAUAAUUUGUUAAAUUUCUGCUUAAUAUCUCGAAGAUUGCCGAGAUUUUUCUCCAAUUUCAGAUCAAAAACAGGUAAGAAAUGUAUGUUUGCUUUUGUUAGAUGUUAGAUCUAUAAUUUAAAAUGAUACUGAAAAGAAAAAAUCAUAGAAAAUACGGUGUUUUCAAAAUUUUAUUAGUAUAUUUGAUUCUACGCAACAAUUUCUCUUAAUUUGUCUUUAAAUAACAUAGCCAAUACAUUAAUAAAUACUCACCAUAUGCGUGAUUUGAUGUUUUCUUCUACUUUGUGCAAUAUAAAGGUAUUGAAACGAACAUAGAAAUUAUCAUAUUCCUAACAAAUUUUCAAAAUAUAAAUUUUUUAAAGCAUUUUAAAGAUUUUCAACCACUCACUAUACAGUUGACCUUGCUGAAAUGAAUUUUCAAAUGUUUGUUUGAAACUUCUUGUUUACAUAUUUUCUGACGAUCAAUUCGGAGGACCUGUUGGUUGGUGAUCUGAACCCUUUCCAUUCAGAUUUGAGUUCAUAUUUUAGACAAUUUGCGACACUUGUCUUGUAUUGCACUCCUAUAAAAUGAUAUCUGAUAAAGCAUGGAUUCAGCAUGAUAUUUUAUUGUCCGGUAGUUUAUUUUGAUCUUUUUAUUUUAAAUAUGCUUUUCAACAAAAUAUUAUCCACAACUUGCAGUGCAGCUAUAUUUGUGCAAACAAUUUUACCAUUUAUUGUCUGAAAAUACAAGUAAAAUUAUAAAAUAUAUUUGAGGGUCCAUCAGAAAUACCUCUGAGUAAAAGCUCUGAACAAUUUUCGAUCAAAAACUAAUAAAACAUGUUGCUUUUUCGUGAAAUCCAUGUCACACGUACAAAAUACUCAAAAAGCAAACAAAUUCUUGUCGUUUAGGUUUACAAUAUGGAAUUUUUUCAACAUAUGAUAAGUAUAUUUGAAAUACUUGUUGAUAAAACCGCUGAAUAAUUUGUCAUUCCGUUUCUGUCAAUUAUUUUUGGUCAUUAUUGUUAACCGAGUUCUGAAGAUUUUCUCGGGUGCAGAUGAUCAAAACCUUGUAUAGUAUGUUUAAUUGUUUUUGCGUUUUAUUUGUUUCAUACGUUAAAAUACAUUUCACAAGACACUUAAUUUUGCUAAAAUGGAUUUACAAAUAUAUGUUUGCAAAUUCUUGUUGAUAAAACCGCUGAAUAAUUUGUCAUUCCGUUUCUGUCAAUUAUUUUUGGUCAUUAUUGUUAACCGAGUUCUGAAGAUUUUCUCGGGUGCAGAUGAUCAAAACCUUGUAUAGUAUGUUUAAUUGCUUUUGCGUUUUAUUUGUUUCAUACGUUAAAAUACAUUUCACAAGACACUUAAUUUUGCUAAAAUGGAUUUACAAAUAUAUGUUUGCAAAUUCUUGUUAACAUAUUUUUAGACGUUUAUUCAGGGGACCUGUUGUUUAAAGAAAUCUGUAAGCUACAACUUCUAAUGCAGCUUUAUAUGCCUAAAUAUUUUUCCCAUAUAUUGUUUAAAAAAUGCAGGUUAACAUAUUUUUUGCGGUUAGUCAAAAAUACCUGUUCUUAAAAGCGGCCAACAAAUUGUCGUUCCGUUUCUGUCAAUUAUUUUGGGUUACAUUUUUUAAACAAUUUCUGAAGUUUCUUCGAAUUGCAAUAACAAAAUGUGAUAGUAUGUUGAACUGCUUUUCCAUUUUAUAUGUUUUUGUAACGUUAAAAUAAAACAGUUAGUUUUGCUAAAAUAUAUUUACAAAUUUGUGCUUGAAAAUUGUUGUUUACACAUUUCUGACAGUCAAUUUGAAGGAUCUGUUGCUUUUCAACACAAUGCAAGCCACAACUUCCAUUGCUGCUAGAUUUGCUCAAUUAUGUUGCCAUUUUAUGCGUUCAGUCGGAGAUACAUUUUGAUAGAAGCGCUGAACAAUUCGUCGUUGCGUUUCGGUCAAUUAUUUUUUGGUCAUUAUUUUUACCCGAUUUAUGAAGUUUUACGAUAAAAAAACAACUCACAAGAGAGUGAUUUUUAAUUGAUUUACCAAUUUUGUCUGAAAUUUACAUAUUUAUUGAGUUCAAUUCAGGGGACCUGUUGUUUAAAAAAAUCUGUAAGCUAAAGCUUCAAAUCCAGCUAUAUUUUCUCAAAUAUUUUUUCUGCUUAUAAUGUUUUAAAAAUGCAGGUUUAAAUAUUUUUUGUGGUUAGUCGGAAAUACCUGUUCCUGUUUUUGUUAAUAGUUUUCUCAUUUAUUUUCUGAAAAAUACAGGUUCAAAUAUGUUUAUCUGAAAAGUCUUGCAAUCCUCAUUGAAUCGUAACUGUGCACGAUUACAAGCCUCACUUUCAAUUUUGCUACAUGAGAGGACGCAUUGCCUACCUCCAAGGAUUCGGGAGAUGAAGACACCCACCUAAGACGAAAAGAAGGAUUAUGAUCUUGUGAAAAGAGUAUCAGAUCUAGAAAAGUCAAAGAAAGAUAACAUAAAAGAGUUGAAAGAUAAAGUGAGGAGUUUAGCUUUACAGGCCAACUCAAGCGAGCCUCUAAUUCUCCUCACUCUAGACAUUUGGCAAAUUAGGCGAGAUGGCAAAACGAUGAUGACGCAGAAACAUUCGACGAAUUAGCGCGAGAAACACAAAGACAUCAGGCGUCGAUAAAUUUUGCCACUCUAACUUUGAAUGUAUUAGGAGGGAAGCUUCUGAUUUAGUAGGAAAAGCUACGGCAAAAGGUCUGAAGGAGAAGGAAGUUGAACAAAAUAUCACAGGAAAUAAAGUUUAUCAAAUUGAAAAAAUGGAAACCAUUUCACCUUUGGCUAAUGCUUAAACCACUGCUACAUGUUUGCCUAAACAUUUCAUACCUCAGUUGCCUACUGGAUGGCAACAAGGAAUGUUUCCUUUUAGUACUAGUAUGUACCAUACCCAAGACCCAAGAAGAUUUAGUCCAAGAAAUGGCCAGUGGCUGUAGAGAGGAAAUUGUUACUUCUGAUCACUCUGUGAAGAAUUGUGAGAAGAUGAAAAACGAUAAAGGAAAAUAACUGUAUCGGUUGUAAUAUCUAGUUUGUAACAAUUUUGAUAUAUAGUUUUAUAUUGAUUUGUGCUUUGAAUUAUAACUUGUAGUUUUAAAGAUUAUUAAAGUUUUGCAUGAAUUUUA